UAGAAAACCCAUACCUUGUAAGAAUUUUAGU
rnacentral:piRNA from 1 species